UGCCUCUGAAGCUGGCCCACCACACUGUGAGACUUGUGUGGCUCUUUCAAAUUUCUGUCUCCUGAGGAUGAUGUGACGGAGCAUAUUAGUUUAUGUGUUUAAAUUUCAUCAAAGAUGAAGAAAAACAGCCACUGUGUAAACAGAGCGAACAACAAUAAGGGAAAACAAACAUAUAUUAGGAGCCUGGAAACAUAUUUUCCUGCCUUCCUGUAUAGGAACAAUACCAAGAGGAAUAAGAAAAGCAGCCUUAUGCCAAAGCGGGCCUGAAAAACAAGUAUGCAGUCGAAUGGAUGUCCUGAGAACAUAUCAACUACUUAACCUUGCAGGGGAAAAAUGAAUUGAAACACGAGACAGCACGGGUAAAACGAUAGAGGAACACCUUGUUUUCUUCUCCUGCCGAAAGAAAAAAAAAAAAAACCUGUCUCCCUCCUGAUCUAAAGUUUCUAGGCAGCUUCC